AGUGAACGUUGGCGGCGUGGAUUAGGCAUGCAAGUCGCGCGGAAAGGCCCCGCAAGGGGCACUCGAGCGGCGUAAGGGAUAGUAACACGUGGGUAACCUACCCCUGGGACUGGGAUAGCUGCGGGAAACUGCAGGUAAUACCGGAUAACGUCCCCGGACCAAAGGUGUGAUUCCGCCUGGGGAGGGGCCCGCGUCCUAUUAGCUAGUUGGCAGGGCAACGGCCUACCAAGGCAAAGAUGGGUAGGGGGUGUGAGAGCACGACCCCCAUCACUGGGACUGAGACACUGCCCAGACACCUACGGGUGGCGGCAGUCGAGAAUCUUCGGCAAUGGGCGCAAGCCUGACCGAGCGACGCCGCGUGCGGGAUGAAGGCCCUCGGGUUGUAAACCGCUGUCAGAGGGAAAGAAGUGCUGGGGGGUUCUCCCUUCAGUUUGACUGACCCUCAGAGGAAGUACGGGCUAAGUUCGUGCCAGCCGCCGCGGUAACAC
rnacentral:rRNA from 1 species